GUUGAAACACCGGUUUCUGUGUAGAUCACCGAAGUUAAACAACGUUGAGCCUGGUCAGUAUCUAGGUGAGUGACCACUUGAGAAUACCAGGUGUUGUAAG